ACCAAGAUCGGAUCCGCCAACCCGCGACGUCGAAGUCGCCAGCCUCGAUGGGCAACAUCAUAGCCGCUCGCCUCAUCCUCACCAUCGCCCACUCCAGCGCCUUCCCCAGCUUCCUUUCUCACCUCGUGCUUUACCAAGAUCUGGACGUUACCUCACCACCCCUCCAUCACCCACUACUUGAGAUUAGAUUCUGAUUUAGAAGUUUGGUUUCGUCCAGUGACCAACAAGAUGGCAGCGGCUGGAGACAACAUGUUUGGAAGAGGCAACCCGAUGAUGCAGUGAGGCUAGGGGAUGGGUGAGAAACUCUGCGAGGAACCCAGCUGCAAUACCAUUAGAUCUGGUCCCCUUCCAACUAUUCGAGGUUCAUCUAGAUAAGGAGUAAGAUCAAUGCCCUUUGCUCUUCUCAAAGGCACCAUGAGGAUUUAGCCGCGAGACAUGAAGCACAAGAUAGAGAAUUUGAAGAGAUGCAAAGAAGAACAACCAAGAGAAGAAUAAGUCUGGCAAAAGAAGCAACAUGAGAUGGAUAACCUGAUUGGAUUUCUUUUAAGGGCUCAAGCAACUCAACAAGCAAAUCAGUCCAGCCUAAUGGUGCAUGAAGGCCAUCAUUUUGUGAAAGAAAGAUCGUUAUUUAAUCAUACAUUGCAAUCAUCAGGACAACAUAAGUGGUC